ensembl:lncRNA
GCGGCAGGUAGUCUAGUGGUUAGAGUGGAGGGGCGGCAGGUAGUCUAGUGGUUAGAGUGGAGGGGCGGCAGGUAGUCUAGUGGUUAGAGUGGAGGGGCGGCAGGUAGUCUAGUGGUUAGAGUGGAGGGGCGGCAGGUAGCCUAGUGGUUAGAGUGGAGGGGCGGCAGGUAGCCUAGUGGUUAGAGUGGAGGGGCGGCAGGUAGCCUAGUGGUUAGAGUGGAGGGGCGGCAGGUAGUCUAGUGGUUAGAGUGGAGGGGCGGCAGGUAGUCUAGUGGUUAGAGUGGAGGGGCGACAGGGUAGCCUAGUGGUUAGAGUGGAGGGGCGACAGGUAGCCUAGUGGUUAUAGUGGAGGGGCGGCAGGGUAUCCUAGUGGUUAGAGUGGAGGGGCGGCAGGUAGUCUAGUGGUUAGAGUGGAGGGGCGGCAGGUAGCCUAGUGGUUAGAGUGGAGGGGCGGCAGGUAGCCUAGUGGUUAGAGUGGAGGGGCGGCAGGGUAGCCUAGUGGUUAGAGUGGAGGGGCGGCAGGGAGCCUAGUGGUUAGAGUGGAGGGGCGACAGGGAGCCUAGUGGUUAGAGUGGAGGGGCGGCAGGGAGCCUAGUGGUUAGAGUGGAGGGGCGGCAGGGAGCCUAGUGGUUAGAGCGUUGGACUAGUAACCGAAAGGUUGCAAGUUCAAAU